GACGGAGGAUGCAAGUGUUAUCCGGAAUCACUGGGCGUAAAGCGUCUGUAGGUGGUUCGAAAAGUCCACUGUUAAAAAUUGAGGCUUAACUUCAAAGAUGCCGUGGAAACUUUCAAACUAGAGUAUGGUAGGGGUAGAGGGAAUUUCCAGUGGAGCGGUGAAAUGCGUAGAUAUUGGAAAGACCACCGAUGGCGAAGGCACUCUGACUGGGCCAUUACUGACACUGAGAGACGAAAGCUAGGGGAGCAAAUGGG
rnacentral:rRNA from 1 species